AGGCGCCUUCGGGGCCGGCGGCGUCGCUGCGGUCGACGACGACGGAGAGGACGACGCCAUCGUCCUCGUCGCUCGCUCCAGGCCUCGGCACCAUGACGGGCUCGGAAGGGAGCAGCCCGUCGUGCGGCCCCCAG
rnacentral:SRP_RNA from 12 species